UACAGAGGUCUCAAGCGUUGUUCGGAUUCAUUGGGCGUAAAGGGUGUGUAGGUGGCGCCGUAAGUCGGGUGUGAAAUUUCGGAGCUUAACUCCGAAACUGCAUUCGAUACUGCGGUGCUUGAGGACUGGAGAGGAGACUGGAAUUCAUGGUGUAGCAGUGAAAUGCGUAGAUAUCGAGAGGAACACCAGUGGCGAAGGCGGGUCUCUGGACAGUUCCUGACGCUGAGGCACGAAGGUCAGGGGAGCAAACGGG
rnacentral:rRNA from 1 species